UACGUAGGGUGCGAGCGUUGUCCGGAAUUAUUGGGCGUAAAGAGCUCGUAGGCGGACUGUCGCGUCGGUCGUGAAAACUUGGGGCUUAACCCUGAGCUUGCGGUCGAUACGGGCACGACUGGAGUUCGGUAGGGGAGACUGGAAUUCCUGGUGUAGCGGUGAAAUGCGCAGAUAUCAGGAGGAACACCGGUGGCGAAGGCGGGUCUCUGGGCCGAUACUGACGCUGAGGAGCGAAAGCGUGGGGAGCGAACAGG
rnacentral:rRNA from 1 species